AUGUGUUUUUCCCUGCAUUCUUUAUUUCAGGAACUUACCAUUGGUACAUUUUUCAGCGAAUCACUGAACAACUUGAAGCUUCUAAUGGUGGAACCAUUGACAGUUGCUGCCGGGAUAGGAUGGGGCAUGAAAGCUGCAGGGUGGGUUGCCUCGCCCAUCAUCUCUGAGCUUUUCAAGAAAGCUUCCCCCUACCUAGGCUUUGACGCAUCGAAGAAGCUGAAGGAACUUGAGACAAAGAUUUUACUGCUGGAGCAGGUGAUGGAAAUGGUGGAUGAGAGUCGUCACAGGGGUCGUCUCCAGCAGCUGUUCGAGGAUCUUAAGUCUGCUUUUUAUGAAGCUGAAGAAAUAUUGGAUGAUGUUGAAUAUCACCGUCUUAAGAAGCAGAUCAAAGAUAAUAAGAUGAAGCCAGACAGCGACGUGUCUCUACGUAAGAGGGAUUGGGUGAAGAAGAAGCUCCAAUCUGCCGUGCCGAGCUUCCCCCUAAAAGAUCAGAAGAGUGGUAUGGCAAAAACUAAGUUGAAGCAGAGCCUAGACAAAAUAGAAAAGGUCAUAAAUGAUACAUGCGGAAUUUUGGAAAAGAUGAACUUGCCAAGCAUAAUAAACGCUAACCGGAGCCAUGCUGUUGCUGCUAGCUCACGAGGUGCAGUCACUACUGCGACGCCUCCAUUAGUGGUAAUUGGACGAGGUGAAGAUUGUGAUAAGAUUGCUGCAAUGCUUCAUGAGACGGAACAAGAUGGUCUUCCUGGCACCAAUAGUACUCUGCGUUAUUCUGUAAUUGGCAUUCAUGGCAUCGGUGGUUCUGGGAAGUCAACCCUUGCACAACUUGUUUGUGACCGUGAGAAAAAGGAUAAGCAAGAGAAAAAGGAUGGUCAUUUUGACCUUGUUAUGUGGGUUCAUGUUACUCAGAGUUUUAGUGUGGAUACCAUUUUCAAGAUGAUGUUUAACGCAGCUAGAGGGACUCCGUGCCCUCAUUUCGAUAAUCCUGACAUCUUAGAAGUUAAUUUGAAGAAUGAACUGCAAGGAAAACGGUUCCUCUUGGUACUAGAUGAUGUUUGGUACAGUAAUGGAGAUGAUGUGCAGUAUGAGAAGCUGCAAAAGAUACUUACACCACUGAACGCUGGAGAGGCAGGAAGCAAGAUCCUCUUGACUAGUCGAACUGAAGAUGCAUUGAUAGCUCUAGGUGCUGAAGAGCAGUGA
rnacentral:rRNA from 1 species